AUGAUCGUCGAAUCUAACCUUAGAACACGCAUCGAUCCAAGAAGUCGUUAUUCCCGCGGUAUUCAUUGAGUUACAGUAGUUAGAAAAUCGGUAUUAUUUCUCCGAGUGACGGGUACGCCGUUAAUAACCUGCGCAAAUAUGGCUUCACGAGAGUUAAACCUGGGUUAUCUAUGCUGCAAUUUAACUUUUCGCAGAUACUACAAUAUUUUUGUGGGCUACUCCAGCUUUUAACAACGGGUUAAUCCGAAAUCCAGUGAUCCUUUUUUUGUUACGUGAAGUCGAGCACACGCUAACUGUGGGUUAGGUUAACCUGGAGUAACUCUCACUCAUGAAUGACACCGGGCAUAGUAGUACAAAAUACCUGGUGAUGAUCAAAAUCGGUGAUUGUUGAUCAAAAAAAUGGCCUAUUUGAUGUGGAUACUAACAUACAUCGAUAUGGCCGGAGGCUGGUAAAGGUGAAAUAGCACGCCUCUUCGCGUCUAUCAUGGUCGGCUAGAGGCGUGAGUGUUGCAGUAGGAGUCGUGAAAGUAAGAUUGCAUUCGUCUACAAUGCAGCAUACGGAAGAACAUAAAGGCUAUAGGUGACAUAGACGCAUCAGCAUCGCAUCACGAAACCGGUCAUGAGGCAAAAAUAUAUUCAAAAACCUAUAAAGUAACCGAAUUUUCAUAUCUUGUAGACUCUUUCUCUAUUAACAAAAAUGACGCUGCGUCCAUAUUCAUUGUUACUUUAUCGAAUAAAAUUUCUAAAAUGAAAAGAAUAUUAAAUUUUCGCCAUAUUUGUUACAGGUACACAUGACAUAAAUCACCCCGAGCAUGUCUAUGUGGGUAUUGUGGUUUGGAAAUAUCUACAAAGUACAUAGAACUUUAGUGACGAUAUUCAAUGAAAACUACUUAUUCGUAUUAUAACAUAAUUAGAAUAAGGGUUUCUCAAAUUUUCAUGUCUGACCUACACCAGUAGUCACGGCAACCAGAAAUAUGAAGUAUUAAGAGGUGGACUACAAUCUUUCGACUGCCUUCACUUCAUUCAACAACGCAAUCCAUUCUGAUAUUCCCUUUAACACUGUAUCAGUACAUUACCUGCAAAUAUACUCACACUUAUAUUA
rnacentral:lncRNA from 1 species